UACGUAGGGUGCGAGCGUUAAUCGGAAUUACUGGGCGUAAAGCGUGCGCAGGCGGUUUUGUAAGUCAGAUGUGAAAGCCCCGGGCUUAACCUGGGAACGGCAUUUGAAACUGGCAAGCUGGAGUGCGGCAGAGGGGGGUGGAAUUCCACGUGUAGCAGUGAAAUGCGUAGAGAUGUGGAGGAACACCGAUGGCGAAGGCAGCCCCCUGGGCCGACACUGACGCUCAGGCACGAAAGCGUGGGGAGCAAACGGG
rnacentral:rRNA from 1 species